rnacentral:tmRNA from 1 species
ACUGGUCUCGACGGGGGUUUGGAGUCUUCAGAAGCGAGCCGUGUUUUUGUUUCGGGUACACGUUAAAGAACGGGACACCUAAAGAUAAACGCUAACGAAAAUUACGCUUUAGCAGCUUAAUAUAGCUGCUCGUCACCUUCGGUAAACCCGCGGGCCGAAACGUGACGUCAACUUAGCGGGGAACGCCGCAGGGGGGUGCCUUGACCCUGCGUUGUACAACUGGGGCUGGUCAAACCUAAAUGCUGUUGCUGGCAGUUAGGCAAGACGAGAUCUAAAUCAGCAGCUGCGCUCGGAGAAACUGGUGGCAAAGGGCCUUCGGACAGGGGUUCGACU